AUUGAACGCUGGCGGCAGGCCUAACACAUGCAAGUCGAGCGGAGCGGCGGACGGGUGAGUGAUGCCUAGUAAUCUGCCUGGUAGUGAGGGAUGGCGUCCGGAAACGGGCGCUAAUACCGCAUACUAUCAGAUGAGCCUAGGUCGGAUUAGCGAGUAGGUGGGGUAAAGGCCUACCAAGGCGACGAUCCGUAACUGGUCUGAGGGGAUGAUCAGCCACACUGGAACUGAGACACGGUCCAGACUCCUACGGGAGGCAGCAGUGGGGAAUAUUGGACAAUGGGCGCAAGCCUGAUCCAGCCAUGCCGCGUGUGUGAAGAAGGUCUUCGGAUUGUAAAGUACUUUAAGUUGGGAGGCGGUACCUACAGAAUAAGCACCGGCUAACUUCGUGCCAGCAGCCGCGGUAAUUC
rnacentral:rRNA from 1 species